UACGUAGGGUGCGAGCGUUGUCCGGAAUUAUUGGGCGUAAAGGGCUCGCAGGCGGUCUGUCGCGUCGGGAGUGAAAACUCAGGGCUUAACCCUGAGCCUGCUUCCGAUACGGGCAGACUAGAGGUAUGCAGGGGAGAACGGAAUUCCUGGUGUAGCGGUGGAAUGCGCAGAUAUCAGGAGGAACACCGGUGGCGAAGGCGGUUCUCUGGGCAUUACCUGACGCUGAGGAGCGAAAGUGUGGGGAGCGAACAGG
rnacentral:rRNA from 1 species